rnacentral:rRNA from 1 species
UACGUAGGGGGCAAGCGUUGUCCGGAAUCAUUGGGCGUAAAGCGCGUGUAGGCGGUUCGGUAAGUCCGCUGUGAAAGUCCAGGGCUCAACCCUGGGAUGCCGGUGGAUACUGUCGGGCUAGAGUACGGAAGAGGCGAGUGGAAUUCCCGGUGUAGCGGUGAAAUGCGCAGAUAUCGGGAAGAACACCUAUGGCGAAGGCAGCUCUCUGGGACGGUACUGACGCUGAGACGCGAAAGCGUGGGGAGCGAACAGG